rnacentral:rRNA from 1 species
CCUACGGGACGCAGCAGUAGGGAAUCUUCCACAAUGGGCGAAAGCCUGAUGGAGCAACGCCGCGUGGGUGAAGAAGGUCUUCGGAUUGUAAACUAUUGUCGUUAGGGAAGAUAAAAGACUGUACCUAAGGAGGAAGCCCCGGCUAACUAUGUGCCAGCAGCCGCGGUAAUACAUAGGGGGCAAGCGUUAUCCGGAAUUAUUGGGUGUAAAGGGUGCGUAGACGGAAGAACAAGUUGGUUGUGAAAUCCCUCGGCUCAACUGAGGAACUGCAACCAAAACUAUUCUCCUUGAGUGUCGGAGAGGAA